AAAAGCAAAGAAAGAUUAAAACUGAUUGUUAGUAAUAAGAACAAAGAAGCAGUCACGACACAAUUGAAAGUAGGGGUGAUCCGAGUGGUUUGGUACACCACAUAGCUAGCCAAUGUCGUUUUAGUGCCGAAGAAAGACAGGAAGACCCGAGUGUGUGUGGAAUACAGAUAUCUAAAUAAAGCAAGUCCCAAAGAUAACUUCCCUUUUCCAAACAUCCAUAUCCUUGUUGAUAACCGCGCGAAAUAUGAGAUACAGUCCUUUAUGGCUUGUUAAGCAGUAUAUCACCAGGUGUUGAUAGACGAAGAAAUUGCAGAAAAUAUAGCUUUUACC
rnacentral:lncRNA from 1 species